rnacentral:rRNA from 1 species
AGUGAACGCUGGCGGUAGGCCUAACACAUGCAAGUCGAACGGCAGCACAGUAAGAGCUUGCUCUUACGGGUGGCGAGUGGCGGACGGGUGAGGAAUACAUCGGAAUCUACUUUUUCGUGGGGGAUAACGUAGGGAAACUUACGCUAAUACCGCAUACGACCUACGGGUGAAAGCAGGGGAUCUUCGGACCUUGCGCGAUUGAAUGAGCCGAUGUCGGAUUAGCUAGUUGGUGGGGUAAAGGCCCACCAAGGCGACGAUCCGUAGCUGGUCUGAGAGGAUGAUCAGCCACACUGGAACUGAGACACGGUACAGACUCCUACGGGAGGCAGCAGUGGGGAAUAUUGGACAAUGGGCGCAAGACUGAUCCAGCCAGACCGCGUGGGUGAAGAAGGCCUUCGGGUUGUAAAGCCCUUUUGUUGGGAAAGAAAAGCAGCAGGUUAAUACCCCGCUGUUCUGACGGUACCCAAAGAAUAAGCACCGGCUAACUUCGUG